rnacentral:rRNA from 1 species
UACGUAGGCAGCGAGCGUUGUUCGGAGUUACUGGGCGUAAAGGGUGUGUAGGCGGUUGUUUAAGUUUGGUGUGAAAUCUCCCGGCUCAACUGGGAGGGUGCGCCGAAUACUGAAUGACUUGGAGUGCGGGAGAGGAAAGUGGAAUUCCUGGUGUAGCGGUGAAAUGCGUAGAUAUCAGGAGGAACACCGGUGGCGAAGGCGGCAUCCUGGACCGAGAUUGACGCUGAUGCGCGAAAGCCAGGGGAGCAAACGGG